rnacentral:rRNA from 1 species
GACGAACGCUGGCGGCGUGCUUAACACAUGCAAGUCGAACGGAAAGGCCCUGCUUUUGUGGGGUGCUCGAGUGGCGAACGGGUGAGUAACACGUGAGUAACCUGCCCUUGACUUUGGGAUAACUUCAGGAAACUGGGGCUAAUACCGGAUAGGAGCUCCUGCUGCAUGGUGGGGGUUGGAAAGUUUCGGCGGUUGGGGAUGGACUCGCGGCUUAUCAGCUUGUUGGUGGGGUAGUGGCAUACCAAGGCUUUGACGGGUAGCCGGCCUGAGAGGGUGACCGGCCACAUUGGGACUGAGAUACGGCCCAGACUCCUACGGGAGGCAGCAGUGGGGAAUAUUGCACAAUGGGCGGAAGCCUGAUGCAGCAACGCCGCGUGCGGGAUGACGGCCUUCGGGUUGUAAACCGCUGUCGCCUGUGACGAAGCGUGAGUGACGGUAAUGGGUAAAGAAGCACCGGCUAACUACGUG